CCUACGGGCCGCACCAGUGGGGAAUAAUGCACAAUGGGCGCAAGCCUGAUGCAGCCAUGCCGCGUGUAUGAAGAAGGCCCUAGGGUUGUAAAGUACUUUCAGUCGGGAGGAAGGCGUUGAUGCUAAUAUCAUCAGCGAUUGACGUUACCGACAGAAGAAGCUCCGGCUAACUCCGUGCCAGCAGCCGCGGUAAUACGGAGGGUGCAAGCGUUAAUCGGAAUUACUGGGCGUAAAGCGCACGCAGGCGGUUGAUUAAGUUAGAUGUGAAAUCCCCGGGCUUAACCUGGGAAUGGCAUCUAAGACUGGUCAGCUAGAGUCUUGUAGAGGGGGGUAGAAUUCCAUGUGUAGCGGUGAAAUGCGUAGAGAUGUGGAGGAAUACCGGUGGCGAAGGCGGCCCCCUGGACAAAGACUGACGCUCAGGUGCGAAAGCGUGGGGAGCAAACAGGAUUAGAUACCCGCGUAG
rnacentral:rRNA from 1 species